rnacentral:rRNA from 1 species
UACGUAGGGGGCAAGCGUUAUCCGGAUUUACUGGGUGUAAAGGGAGCGCAGACGGCAGUGCAAGUCUGAUGUGAAAGCCCGGGGCUCAACCCCGUAACUGCAUUGGAAACUGUACAGCUUGAGUGUCGGAGAGGUAAGCGGAAUUCCUAGUGUAGCGGUGAAAUGCGUAGAUAUUAGGAGGAACACCGGUGGCGAAGGUGGCUUACUGGUCUGUAACUGACACUGAGGCGCGAAAGCGUGGGGAGCAAACAGGAUUAGAUACCCUGGUAGU